CGAUUCUGGCUCAGGAUGAACGCUAGCGGCAGGCUUAACACAUGCAAGUCGAGGGGCAGCGUGGAGUAGCAAUACUCUGACGGCGACCGGCGAAAGGGUGAGUAACGCGUGAGCAACAUGCCCGGUAGUGGAGAAUAGUCGAUGGAAACGUCGCGUAAUACUCCGUAACAUAGGAGACCGCAUGAUCUUCUAUUAAUAGAUUUAUCGCUACCGGAUUGGCUCGCGUACCAUUAGCUAGUUGGCGGGGUAACGGCCCACCAAGGCGACGAUGGUUAGGGGUUCUGAGAGGAAGGUCCCCCACAUUGGAACUGAGACACGGUCCAGACUCCUACGGGAGGCAGCAGUGAGGAAUAUUGGACAAUGGCCGAGAGGCUGAUCCAGCCAUGCCGCGUGCGGGAAAGACGGCCCUAUGGGUUGUAAACCGCUUUUGUUGGGGAGCAAUAAGGUCCACGUGUGGAUCGAUGAGAGUACCCAGCGAAUAAGCAUCGGCUAACUCCGUGCCAGCAGCCGC
rnacentral:rRNA from 1 species